GUCUAUGGCCAUACCACCCUGAACACGCCUGAUCUCUCUUGAUCUCAGAAGCUAAGCAGGGUUGGGCCUACAUAGUACUUGGAUGGAAGAGAUUGGAAGGAUCAGUAUUUCAGACA
rnacentral:rRNA from 1 species